rnacentral:rRNA from 1 species
CAGUAGCCGCGGGAAUACGGAGGGGGCUAGCGUUGUUCGGAAUUACUGGGCGUAAAGCGCACGUAGGCGGCUUGGUAAGUUAGAGGUGAAAGCCCGGAGCUCAACUCCGGAAUUGCCUUUAAGACUGCCGAGCUAGUAGGUGAGAGAGGUAAGUGGAAUUCCGAGUGUAGAGGUGAAAUUCGUAGAUAUUGAGAGGAACACCAGUGGCGUAGGCGACGUUCUGGUCCGACACUGACGCUGAGGUGCGAAAGCGUGGGGAGCAAACAGGAUUAGAUACCCGAGUAGUCCCUGUCUCUUAUAA